CCCAUUGGCUGUUGCCUGGAUACAGUUCCUAACAUCGCAACCCGGAAGAAGAAAGGAGCAUAAAGUUGGCCAAACUAAGUUUUGUUCGCAGAAAUGCCGAAAAAUCCCGAAGAGACGAAAAACGUGAGCGUGCCGCAUCCAGGCCACUGGGUUUGGAGUGAUGAACCCAAAACGGUGGAGUUUGUCAGUUCUAGUUCAGCA